ACCAGGCAAGUAUGUUUUUAAUACAGAAGGCAGUAGCUUUGGUUACAAUUAAAUGAUUGGCUCCGACGUCACAAGAAAGCAAGCAGUCCUGAUACAGAGGUUGAAUGCGAAAUUCACCUUAUCAGGGACUUACCCGAUUUCUUCUUAUUAAGAAUACAGAUGUGUAUUACAUAAAGUGUACACUUUAGCCUAAAAUAACCAAGCUCUUAUACAUUUCAGUUUUCAACAAUUCAGUGAUGAUUACAGGUAUCAGGUUAAAAGGGAAAAUCCCAUUACUGCUAUCCUUCUGAGCUAUUUUCGCUCUCACAGGAAUGCAAAAGCCUUACCC